rnacentral:misc_RNA from 1 species
GAGACUAGAGAUUGUUCUGCAUUGACAAGAGAGGAGCGUGAAUCUCCGGAGGUGUGGUCUCAUAUUUGUAUUCACAAACUGGCCGAACUAGCCAAGGAGAGCACUACAAUGCGCAGGGUACUGGAUCCAAUGCUCCUAUACUUCGAUAAAAGAAAAUACUGGGCCCCCCGGAAUGGGUUUGCUUUGAGCGUAUUAUCUGACAUGUC